CAACUCCACAAUGUCACAAUGCAUGCAGAUGUUGAAACAGACGAAGUAUAUGCACAAAUGACUUUGCAGCCCUUGACGCAGGAAGAACAAAA